rnacentral:rRNA from 1 species
GACGAACGCUGGCGGCGUGCCUAACACAUGCAAGUCGAGCGAGUGAAUUUCCUUCGGGAUUGAAGCUAGCGGCGGACGGGUGAGUAACACGUGGGCAACCUGCCUCAUAGAGGGGAAUAGCCUUUCGAAAGGAAGAUUAAUACCGCAUAAGAUUGUAGCUUCGCAUGAAGUAGCAAUUAAAGGAGCAAUCCGCUAUGAGAUGGGCCAGCGGCGCAUUAGCUAGUUGGUGGGGUAACGGCUUACCAAGGCGACGAUGCGUAGCCGACCUGAGAGGGUGAUCGGCCACAUUGGGACUGAGACACGGCCCAGACUUCUACGGGAGGCAGCAGUGGGGAAUAUUGCACAAUGGGGGAAACCCUGAUGCAGCAACGCCGCGUGAGUGAUGACGGCCUUCGGGUUGUAAAGCUCUGUCUUCAGGGACGAUAAUGACGGUACCUGAGGAGGAAGCCACGGCUAACUACGUGCCAGCCGCCGCAGUAA